UCACCAUGACGUGAAAUGUGUAACACAACACACUUGUAUGUACGUGAGUGACACACAACAAUGAUCUUCAAACAUGUGGUGCACUGUAUGUAGCAUUGCUGCACAUUCAGUAAGCUUUGUGAUGUGCAAUAUUAAAUUGGCAGCAUGUUUCCAACACCUGUACGAACUUGAACUGUUAGCUUUAUGUCUGUUAAAAAGUAAAACUUUUUAUCAACGGAAAUGAAGCAACGGAAACGAAGCAUUGUUUAAAAAAGCAGUGUGGGGCGCAUCACACGAAGCUUUUUGUUUUUAGGUGCGUUUUGGAAUUAGCCAGUCACCACAUUUGCUUAAAUGUUAUGUUACGAGCUAUGUUGCAAUAUCAAGCGUAUCUCAAAGUCUCACCCGCAUCGCUGUGACAGAAAGUCUGAUUUUUGUGGAAUGGCUGACAAAGAAAAGCUUUUUAUUACCAUGUAUUUCCAUGUGCUUCUGCAAGGUCAUGUUGACUCAUGACCGAAACCAAAAAUGCAUGCACUUUAUAUGCCAAUUCGUAGUUUCCACCUCCUUUAUGUCCAUGUGAAUUAUUUAUUACACACAGUUUAGGUUUCGAUAGCAUAAGUCGUAAAGGUAUGCACUGCAACGUUUGUGGCAACAGUUUGUUGUUCUGUAUGCACUGGAAGACAUGUUCUGUCGCCUCUGCUGUGACUGUGUUUGUUCACUUGGUUUUGUGCCACAAUUCUUUUCAUAUAAUUUGUCCUCCUUCAACGAUUGGCCAUAUUCCUCGUGUUUCUUUUAGUUUGUUGUUGAAUACUUCCAUAUUGUUUCCUACAUACGUUACAUUGUGACACACAUUGCGAUUUAUUUGUGUUGGAAGUCGUUAAUAUGACAUGAGAUUUCUCCUCCGUCUGAGGAGACCAAACAGGUUUACUUCGACAUGUCAUGCUCGUAGUAUGUACUACGAACAAGCGUGAGUGCGCAAUACCUCAUUACUAUUUCCUUUCAGCUUGAGCGUAGGAUUUAGCUGCUCGGACCAUGGAAUUUAUAGCUUUGGAAUAUAUUUGUGUAAUCUACACGAAGUAUACAUGAUGUGUUGGCAGUGAGGGUGCAAGAAUUAGAUUAAAGAUAGGCUUUUUUCAAUACACCAAUGCCACAACAAAGUUGUGCACUACCUCUCCACACUUGAAAAGCACUGGAAGUGCAUGGUAGUUCACAAGAUUAUUGCAAGGGUGGGACUCCUUUGUCGAUUGCACCAUCUUGACAGAAAGGCACAUUCCUGUACCAUACUGUGCCACAAACAUAAAUUUGGAGGAAAUUGUGCCAUGCUACACCACAAUGACUGCGGCAUAUGUGUGCUCCGGCAGUGGCCGCGAACAGAGAGCGAAUUCCACACACACAAAAAAAGACUACAGCCGUUCACAUGUUGCACACCAAGCCAGCGUGCCUCUCGCAUGAAUUUUUGCACUCGCAACAGUGGACUUUUCAGCGCUUCCUGCAACUGGUCGGGGCAUGUGCGGCCACUUGGGAGGUUGUAAUUAUAAUAUUUGAAUACAUCUUGAGUUCCCCAAAUGGCAUCGCUGGCUCAUCCUCACAUGCUUUGACUUGCACAUACUUUACAGCAUACAGUGCAUGGCGAUGUCGUUAUCACCCCUGCAAUUUAUCUGGAACAUCACACCAACACUGACGGCAGAAAUGUGCCUACAGUGUCCAUGUAAUUGCUAUUGUUAUAAAAACAGAUUGGAAUAGCUUUAACUUUCACCAGUCUGGGGUUGAUCGCGGCUCUCUGCGUCUGCAGUGACAUAUGGUGAACCAGAAAGUGUGUUACCACGUUGAUUGGACCACAUGAUUUAAUAACAUUGCAGUUAUGAGCGUUGGCACCAGAAUAUAUAGUUCCAUCAUAGUGCCACCAAUGCUCUUACCUUUAUACAGAAAAACAUGCGCAAUGCUGCCUGUUGACAUACUUUAUUGUUCUUUUCGUGUUGUUCUUUUAUAUUUCAUUGUGGUUUCGAAGUGCCCUGUACAUUCCAUUCCACCAUAAUUGCCAUUGGCCCGCUCCAAACUGCUUCAAAAUAAAUUUCUCUACCCCAAAUUGCUCCAAAAUAGAAUUUUGUCUGCUCCAAACUGCUCCAACACCCAAUGUUACUUGCUCCAAGAAUUGCUGAAAAAAAACUUCGGUCAGUUGUAACCAUGAGAUUGCCACACUACAUUACUAAUAAACCUUCAAACGUAUGCUGGUAUUUUUAAGAACUUUUAAUUCUGACAUAUGGAAGGAUAACACAUUAUUUAUAAAUCAACACUAAACUUGGGUUCCAUUCGUUAUAAACGAGGCCAUGAUUGUGGCCAACUCCGAAAUGGGCCUCAGCUGCUGUUCCAUUGUGUCAGCUAGUCUGCUGACCUGGUGGUUCAGCGUCUGUAACUCACCAGUUUGCUGCAAUAAAAAUGUUUCGUCAGCAAUGCUUCUACACAUGUUACUGUGAAAGGCAGAGUUUUGCUGAACGUGUAGUCAUCUUAGACGGCAAAACACAUGGCCAUGCAAUGCCACUAGCACUGAUACUUUCAUCCAAACUUGGGCGCUUUCCUACACAUCUACCUAACAAACCGUGCUGUCACAUUCUCACUUGCUGUCCUGAAAACAUGCAGAGAUGUAACCGACAGAGCGAGGCUGCUACUUUCACUCUACUAGCGUGCAGCACCAGUCAUUCAGCCUUGCUGCUAAUACAAUGUACUGCCGCCAUCACGACAAGAAUAUGUGAGGAUAAGUGGUAGUGUUGUGAAGCAGCACUGGAUGCAAUUGCACUGGGAGCACAAGAGUCAGGUUGUGUCAAAGCCAGGCAUGCGAUACGUGUAGACAGUCUAAUGAACCCAUAGUGUGGUUGUCACUUGUAAGUAACAUGUAAGUGUAAGUAACAUGUAACAUGUAAGUAACAGUAACAAUGUAAGUAACAUUGUAAGUGAACAUGGCUAGCCUUCACUGGCACAAAACGAUGUUUUUUGCACAGGCAGCAAUUCGCAUGUGAUUAUUGUGUCAAUUUCGGCCCAGCCUAAACACGCCAAUGCAGCGUUUGUAUACUUUUUCGGCGACUGAUCAUCUGGUGUGGUGCAGGUGUGACUCGACACAGGCAUGCAUGUCUGGCUGGUGCCUCUCGGUCAGCAGAAUGACAGCUGGUUUCACAUACUGCUCAAAUGGACUGCAUGCCUAGUGGGCCUUCAAGACCUACAUCAACAAGAGGCUGCCUCUCGCAGCAGGCUGUGGGUGACACAGCCAGAAGGGUGACCCUUGCAGCUGCAAGGAAUACGUUGGCAGAAAAGUGAUUGGAGGAGUACUGCAAGGGCAGAGGAAGUGCUGAGGAGGCUUGGAGCUGAGGUGGCCCUUACACUGGCUUAUCUCAAGGUGGAGCUGGUCGCUACGUGUCCAUACCGCUCUGUUCGUGUGAUGGAAGCAGAUACCACCUAAUAUGGACAUGUACUGGUUUAAAAUCAGAAUGCUCGCGUCUUCUACUGCAAGCGGGCCUCUGCUACACUGACAAACAGCUAUGGCCGCGGGAUACAUGACAACAGAUUCUGCAAACACUGCUUCAAUUUAUUAACACGGCUCACAACACAUAUAAUACACAUACACACCAAGAAUUUUGCCUUAAGGGCAAAUCCUUAUUGCAAUAAUAAAUGUGCCACAUUGGCGAGA